GCGCCGCCGUCAGGACCCGGUACAGCUCCAACAUCUGCUCACCGAACACCGGAGGGACACCGAGGCCCAGCCCGGAGCACAGCACAGCGGCUGGUAGCGCCGGCUCAUCCUCCGGGUUCGCCUCCAUUAUCUCCCGCCGCCUCUAUCGUGAUGUUUAUCGUGUGUUUAAUGCUUGGAUUGUGAUGAACACGCCCUCCUCAGGUAGCUUAGCUACCAUAGACUGUAAAUGAAGAUAGAAACACACCAGUCUUCAAUGAGGUUCUGUAAAGAAACUGAGGACUCAGUUCCUGUGCUUCACACUUCGGUCCAGGAGGUGGCGGUAAACACCUGUAAACCUGUAACGAAGAAGAAGAAGAAGAGGACGUGGACGUGGACGUGGCACUGACGCUGUAAGACCAGUAGGAGGCAGCAGUGCACUAAACUAAGUCUACUUUGAGAAGAGAGAAGAAGAGAAAAAGCGCACACCUGUGCUGUAACAGUUUGAAGACAGGAAAUAACAGUUUCUGAUCAAACUCAUGGACUUCUCUUGGUCUCCUGACGUUAAACUCGACUGAACAAUGACCAGGAGAAAGGUCAAAGGUCAAACAUCUGAGCUCGUGGCGUCGUGAAGAAAGCACCUGUCUCAGGAUUCUGGACUACAGGAGUCCAGUCCAGUACAGCAGAGUCCUGAUCAGGUUUAUUCAGCCUGGACCAGGUCUCGCUGAUCUCUGGUGGAUCAAACCUCAGUGUUUUAAAAUCCCUCUGUCCUGAGUCUGAUGUAGCUCUGAGUCUGUGCUGUAGGGUUCAGGUUUAAGGAUCCAGCUCCUUGAUAACAAACGGAGGUGUUGACAGUGCUGAUCCAGGCUGACCUGCAGACCAGCAGGAGGCGCCGCUCCCAGCAGAGACGACAGCUGAAGCUUCAGAGGAAUGUUGGGUCCGGCCCGGCGGCUCCAGCACCGCUCUGAAGUCUGAGUCUGAGCCGCUGGAGUUCCCAGCAUGCCUCUGACUGACUCAGGUGGAGCGUGAGGCUGGGCCGUCUGCUGUGGGGACGCACGGCCUGCAGGGGGCCCUCUUCCUCCAGGCUACUGCUGCUCCAGACUCCUGAGACCCCCCCCAUACCAAACAAAUGUCCACAAACAAAGACUGAGAGGAAACAACCUGCAGGAGGAGGGAGGGAUGGAGGGAGGGAGAGAGAGGGAGAGAGCAUAAGCAUACAGCAUUAGGAAAUCCCUGUUCAAAUUAAACCUCUCAAUAAUCGUUGAAAGUUUGUCGUUGUUUUUGAUCGGUCUGUUUUUAUGGACGUGCAGUUCAGGGCUCAUUGAUCAAACAGUGGAAAAGGUUCAUGUUGCGUUCUGUGAAAACACAGUGUUCAGCUGCAGAGCUCUUCAUUCAACGAUCAGGGUCAGUGACAGUUUUUAAAAUCACUGAAUUUAUUCUCCAACACCUGCUCAGUUUCAUACGUUUUCAUUCAGUGAUGAUAAUAAUCAUUUUUCUGUUCUG